rnacentral:lncRNA from 1 species
GGGCUGGAAAAAAAAUGUUUAAAUCUUGGAAAUAAGAUAAAGAAUUCUUGAUCAACUCAACUAAAAAUGAAUAACAUCUGAAAAAAAAAAGACAUAAAGUAGAGAUGCUUUUGGAGUACAACUCUGUUUAUGAGACUUAUGCAUCUGUAAACUGAAAAUAGUGACUUUGAAACUAGUCAGUUAUUGCUUAGUAAUGCAUCUUGGUAAGGCUCUUAUCCAGAACUUAAAGUGCCAUGGCAACUUCUGCAACUGUGGCUAUAUUUCUGUGAACUUCUGUAAAAAAUUUUGAUUUUUUUUCUUUCUUUUUUGUGGAAGUUUAAAAAAAUAUGCAUAUUUGGUGCCUUUUGUAGAUAUUUCAGGGUGGCAUUUAUUUUUUCUGUAUCACUGAGUUUCUCGGAGAUGGUAGGAGGGAAGUUUGUCAUCAUUCCUUGCAAGAAGCAGGCAUCGUGCCCAAGAGCAGGUGUUAUUACUGCUGCAGGAUAUUUUGUAUAAACACCUUGUGAUGUGACCUACAUAUUCCCAUAGCCUCUGGUGAGAAUUAACACUAAUAUUUACAACAUGACCCACUUCUCCCCAGCUUUUUAGUGCAUCAAGGAGCUUGUUAACAUCACCAGCUGACUAUGGCACAGUCAGCUGUCUCGUCUUCUCAAGUACUCAGUGCAGUAGUGUUAAGGCAGGGUGAGACAGAGUAAGCACAAUGUGUAGAAAUGCAAAACCUACUAAGAAGAAUAAUAGUUCUGGAACACAUAAAAAUAGAACAUUGAAAGAGCUGUGACAAAGCUGUGUUCUGAGCUUUUUUCAGGGAUAAUUCUCAGCAAGGACAGCCAAACACCUUGGGAAAAUCAAACAUUCGAGGAUCAGAAACUCAUGUAUGCUUUGUAGAGCUUGAAGAGCUGUUUAGCUCUGAAGGUCAAAGUGUGGUGAACACAUCAAAGAGAACUGCAGAGUGUUCCUUGCUGAAUUUGUUCUUUUCUUUUGUCUCUCCACAGAAGAAUAUCAUGUUGCCAAAGGCUUACAAUGAAAAGACUGGCAUUUUUAUUUCACUGUAGUUGAAACAGCACUGGCUGUAUCAUGAUGGAUCACAUGUACUCUUUGGAGUCAAUUCUUCAGAUUCAACUGCUUAAUUAAAUUUUAAGCAUUAUUGAUUUAGUUUACAUAGCCUUCCCACUUCCAGCACCACUGAAUCUGAAG